rnacentral:rRNA from 1 species
UACGAAGGGUGCAAACGUUGCUCGGAAUUAUUGGGCGUAAAGAGCUCGUAGGCGGUUUGUCGCGUCUGCCGUGAAAGUCCGGGGCUCAACUCCGGAUCUGCGGUGGGUACGGGGCAGACUAGAGUGAUGUAGGGGGAGACUGGAAUCCUGGUGUAGCGGUGAAAUGCGCAGAUAUCAGGAGGAACACCGAUGGCGAAGGCAGGUCUCUGGGCAUUAACUGACGCUGAGGAGCGAAAGCAUGGGGAGCGAACAGG